GAAAGCCGUAUGCGGGAAAAUCGCACGUACGGUUUGAUGAGGGGGAGCUGGAGAUAGAGCCCUCGCUACUACGCCAGCUCUCUACUCUAC
rnacentral:ncRNA from 1 species